rnacentral:rRNA from 1 species
UACGUAGGGGGCUAGCGUUGUCCGGAUUUAUUGGGCGUAAAGCGAGCGCAGGUGGUUUAUUAAGUCUGGUGUAAAAGGCAGUGGCUCAACCAUUGUAUGCAUUGGAAACUGGUAGACUUGAGUGCAGGAGAGGAGAGUGGAAUUCCAUGUGUAGCGGUGAAAUGCGUAGAUAUAUGGAGGAACACCGGUGGCGAAAGCGGCUCUCUGGCCUGUAACUGACACUGAGGCUUGAAAGCGUGGGGAGCAAACAGG